rnacentral:rRNA from 1 species
UACGGGGGGAGCAAGCGUUGUUCGGAUUUACUGGGCGUAAAGGGCGCGUAGGCGGCCACCGCAAGUCGACUGUGAAAUCUCCGGGCCUAACCCGGAACGGUCAGCCGAUACUGCGGGGCUAGAGUGCAGAAGGGGCAACUGGAAUUCUCGGUGUAGCGGUGAAAUGCGUAGAUAUCGAGAGGAACACCUGCGGCGAAGGCGGGUUGCUGGGCUGACACUGACGCUGAUGCGCGAAAGCUAGGGGAGCGAACGGG